UGGUAACCGCGUGCAAUUUCC
rnacentral:miRNA from 1 species